UCUCUCUCUCUCUCUCUCUCUCUCUCUCUCUACGAACAAAAUUUUUAAGCGAAACAAUUUUCAGUAAAAAGUAAAAUCAAAUUAUAAUACAAUUAUCAUACAAUUUCAGUAUAAGUAUCGAUACAGUAUAUACAUAUUCCAAUUAUAAUACAAUUUCAGAUGGAUAUAAUAUAAUUAAACGGAAUAAAUAAGUAAACAAUAUUAUCGCAAUUUUUAUUUCGACAGAUCUUAUAGAACCUCAAAGAAUGAUCUUCGAUUAUUGGAACUUGUUCGUUAGGUACAUUCCAAAAAAAAUAACUAUCUUACCUGAGGAAAUUCUAUUCCGGGAUCAAACGUGAUGGACAAUUCUUUUAAUAUAUCUACAAAUUAUAGAAUAAAUCUCUAUACAAAAAAAAAAAAAAAUGUUAUAAAGUUAUAUCUUAAAAUUAUAUUCGUUAGUAAGCACUUUGAUUCUUACUACUAACUAUGUUCUACUUUUCACAGAUUAAAGAAAUAAUUUACGAGCAGUACACCCGGUGUAGUAUUUAAACGACGAAGAAUCCAGCCCUCCCCAUUCCCGUUUCAACAUCCCUUUUCGUAUACCGCUUCACUUCUACGCCAGCCACGUUGAAAAGUGUUUUCCGCAUUAUGAAGAUACGAGGUUAUAUUAUUAUUACGGACUUGCGAGCAGCGGAGGUUCAAACGCGCAACACUUUCCGCCUUGCCAGGAGCUAAUUAAGCGCGUCUUGAUGUAAUAACGACCUAAAUGCAGAUGGAGAGACUCUUAUUCCUAAAAUUAAGUGCACUAAGGUCAACCAAUGGAAAUCACCGGAUGGACUAUCCUUUACCUUCAUCUUCGUGCAUACUUUGAAUAUUCCAACAAAUGUCUUAACAAAUAUCUUACGCACUUGUUCGUUUAAAUGGUCACAGACAGAUACGAUAGAGCGCGCUUGUAUGAACAAAGUCAAAUUCCAAAGUUGCAAAUCGCUACGUCCGAGAUGGUCGAAGCGGACGGUCUUAAUUAUAACGUCUCAAGUAACGAGGGUUGGCAUGGGUCGCGACGUUAAUAUAUGGAAGAUCCAAAAUUCGUCGAGCGAUUAUGAAUCAAGUAGGAUUCAUAUGGCCACCUGUCGCUUGAAAUACUGAUAGAUGUUAUAUCCAGGUUGAUCCUAACGCUAUACAACUACUUAAGGAAACUACUAAGUCUUAUCGAUUACGCACGAAUUCAUUACAAAAUAAACGAAUACAGAAAUAUGGUGAUUGAUAUAAAUAUGUUUCUUUUUAUUUUUUUUUUAUUUCUCUUUUUAUUUUUUAUGUAAUAAAAUUACGAUUUAAUAUCUGAUAUAAAUGUAUCGCAUUGAAAACAGAAAUUCUAUGAACAAAGAUUUUUUCUCGUAAGGCAGUUAUGUAUAUUUAUUUUCUUUGCUGUAAAUAUAUGUAUGUAUGUAUGUAUGUAUGUACGCAUACACGAGUUGAUAUAGGGACAAUUAUGUUAUUUACAGGCACGUACGAGACAAGUAUUUCAAAAGAUAUUGAUCAAUAUUUAUACUUCUUUAUUGCUACUUUUUAAUGGCCACGUAAUAUGAUUUUGGCUGGGAAACUACGAUUUUAGUAAUUUUUUCUAUCGCACGAUUACGUCCAUGAUGUAACCUUAGGAAAAAUAAUUGCAACAGCUACAACGGAUGACGCAAAGAUAUUGCUGAUAUUUUGAGGUAACUACGAGUUUACUAGCGCGAUCAGCUAAUCGAACUUUCAUAGAUCGAUCUCAUGCCGAUCGUAGCUACUAAUCCGUUUUGUACUAAUUACGUGCUUUUGUCUCUUGAUACUAGUUAUCAGGGACAUUUAUCUAUAGCUCGAUCAUCCUUUGAUUAAAUCAAUUCUCUUUAAACUUCUCGAUCUUCAUCUUAGUUUAUAAAUAUUAUUAAACUUAAAUGACAUCAACAUGGU